rnacentral:rRNA from 1 species
GACGAACGCUGGCGGCGUGCCUAAUACAUGCAAGUUGAGCGCUGAAGGUUGGUACUUGUACCGACUGGAUGAGCAGCGAACGGGUGAGUAACGCGUGGGGAAUCUGCCUUUGAGCGGGGGACAACAUUUGGAAACGAAUGCUAAUACCGCAUAAAAACUUUAAACACAAGUUUUAAGUUUGAAAGAUGCAAUUGCAUCACUCAAAGAUGAUCCCGCGUUGUAUUAGCUAGUUGGUGAGGUAAAGGCUCACCAAGGCGAUGAUACAUAGCCGACCUGAGAGGGUGAUCGGCCACAUUGGGACUGAGACACGGCCCAAACUCCUACGGGAGGCAGCAGUAGGGAAUCUUCGGCAAUGGACGAAAGUCUGACCGAGCAACGCCGCGUGAGUGAAGAAGGUUGUCGGAUCGUAAAACUCUGUUGGUAGAGAAGAACGUUAGUGAGAGUGGAAAGCUCAUCAAGUGACGGUAACUACCCAGAGAGGGACGGCUAACUACGUG